GUGGCAUUCACAACCAGGUCAUAUAAAACCAUAUAUCCUGACAGUAUAAGAUAGAUUGAGAUCAGAUCCAACAUCUGGCUUGUUCCUACCAGCUAGUAAAAUUAUGAUAGCUGGUUAAUAGACCAUCUUUGUAAGAUGAUUCAACUGUAUCAUCGCUGCGCAGAGUACAAGUACAGAGCCAAUGCUAAAACAUAGACCAAGCCCAAAAUGGAUGCAAAGCAGUCAUCAGCAGGCAGCAGAGGGGAGGGAGUCAUUCAUAUUGAUUUGAUGUCGAUCACCAGCCUCAAUGCUGUCUAUAACCGUCAUAACAGCUUCUCUGUGUGUUUGUUCAGGGAGUCUUGUGUCCCUGCCAGACCUACAGCACAGUCCAAGAAUCAUUUCAGAGAUCAAUUGCACAAACUAAAGGGAUGCUGCCUAACUACCUGAUGGUCACACACCUCCAUUCCAACACAAAUCCGCUUGAUAUGUUGAAUAUGUUGAACAUCUUGUUUACCUGGAGAUAAAUGAAAGGAAUUUUUUUCAAUGAGCUUAACAUUUGAUGUAUUUCCUUCCGCACAAUUGCUUGCAUUUCGGCAGCAAUACUGGAUAUGAUCCUGUAUCUACCAAGCAUCGGUGACUUCUAGGUAUCAGUGUCUAGUAUCUAGCUAAUCAGAAUUUUGCCCACCAGGUACAGACUUAAUUAAGAAGAAAGAAAAAAAUAUCAAGUUGAAGGUUUCUGGAGCUUUAUUUAUUUAU